rnacentral:rRNA from 1 species
UACGAAGGGGGCUAGCGUUGUUCGGAAUUACUGGGCGUAAAGCGCACGUAGGCGGAUAUUUAAGUCAGGGGUGAAAUCCCGGGGCUCAACCCCGGAACUGCCUUUGAUACUGGGUAUCUCGAGUCCGAGAGAGGUGAGUGGAAUUCCGAGUGUAGAGGUGGAAUUCGUAGAUAUUAGGAAGAACACCAGUGGCGAAGGCGGCUCACUGGUCCGGUACUGACGCUGAGGUGCGAAAGCGUGGGGAGCAAACGGG